CCUACGGGUGGCAGCAGUGGGGAAUAUUGCACAAUGGGGGAAACCCUGAUGCAGCGACGCCGCGUGAGUGAAGAAGUAUUUCGGUAUGUAAAGCUCUAUCAGCAGGGAAGAAAAUGACGGUACCUGAUUAAGAAGCCCCGGCUAACUACGUGCCAGCAGCCGCGGGAAUUCGUAGGGGGCAAGCGUUAUCCGGAUUUACUGGGUGUAAAGGGAGCGUAGACGGCAGCACAAGUCUGGAGUGAAAUGUCGGGGCUUAACCCCGGAACUGCUUUGGAAACUGUGCAGCUAGAGUGCAGGAGAGGUAAGUGGAACUCCUAGUGUAGCGGUGAAAUGCGUAGAUAUUAGGAGGAACACCAGUGGCGAAGGCGGCUUACUGGACUGUAACUGACGUUGAGGCUCGAAAGCGUGGGGAGCAAACAGGAUUAGAUACCCGAGUAGUC
rnacentral:rRNA from 1 species